rnacentral:rRNA from 1 species
CCUACGGGAGGCAGCAGUGGGGAAUAUUGGACAAUGGGGGGAACCCUGAUCCAGCGACGCCGCGUGAGUGAAGAAGUAUUUCGGUAUGUAAAGCUCUAUCAGCAGGGAAGAAAGAAAUGACGGUACCUGACUAAGAAGCCCCGGCUAACUACGUGCCAGCAGCCGCGAUAAUACGGAGGGGGCAAGCGUUAUCCGGAUUUACUGGGUGUAAAGGGAGCGUAGACGGCGAUGCAAGUCUGAAGUGAAAGGCGGGGGCCCAACCCCCGGACUGCUUUGGAAACUGUAUGGCUGGAGUGCAGGAGAGGUAAGUGGAAUUCGUAGUGUAGCGGUGAAAUGCGUAGAUAUUAGGAGGAACACCAGUGGCGAAGGCGGCUUACUGGACUGUAACUGACGUUGAGGCUCGAAAGCGUGGGGAGCAAACAGGAUUAGAUACCCGGGUAGUC